GACGAACGCUGGCGGCGUGCCUAAUACAUGCAAGUCGAACGCUGAAGGAGGAGCUUGCUUCUCUGGAUGAGUUGCGAACGGGUGAGUAACGCGUAGGUAACCUGCCUGGUAGCGGGGGAUAACUAUUGGAAACGAUAGCUAAUACCGCAUAAGAGUAGAUGUUGCAUGACAUUUGCUUAAAAGGUGCAAUUGCAUCACUACCAGAUGGACCUGCGUUGUAUUAGCUAGUUGGUGGGGUAACGGCUUACCAAGGCGACGAUACAUAGCCGACCUGAGAGGGUGAUCGGCCACAAUGGGACUGAGACACGGCCCAGACUCCUACGGGAGGCAGCAGGAGGGAAACUUCGGCAAUGGACGGAAGUCUGAACGAGCAACGCCGCGUGAGUGAAGAAGGUUGUCGGAUCGUAAAGCUCUGUUGUAAGAGAAGAACGAGAGUGAGAGUGGAAAGUGCACACUGUGACGGUAUCUUACCAGAAAGGGACGGCUAACUACGUG
rnacentral:rRNA from 1 species